rnacentral:rRNA from 1 species
CCUACGGGGGGCAGCAGUGGGGAAUAUUGGACAAUGGGCGAAAGCCUGAUCCAGCCAUGCCGCGUGUGUGAAGAAGGCCUUCGGGUUGUAAAGCACUUUCAGUGGGGAAGAAAGCCUUGGGGCUAAUACCCUCGAGGAAGGACAUCACCCACAGAAGAAGCACCGGCUAACUCCGUGCCAGCAGCCGCGGUAAUACGGAGGGUGCGAGCGUUAAUCGGAAUUACUGGGCGUAAAGCGCGCGUAGGCGGUCUGAUAAGCCGGUUGUGAAAGCCCCGGGCUCAACCUGGGAACGGCAUCCGGAACUGUCAGGCUAGAGUGCAGGAGAGGAAGGUAGAAUUCCCGGUGUAGCGGCGAAAUGCGUAGAGAUCGGGAGGAAUACCAGUGGCGAAGGCGGCCUUCUGGACUGACACUGACGCUGAGGUGCGAAAGCGUGGGUAGCAAACAGGAUUAGAUACCCCAGUAGUC